AGAGAAGCAAUACCGCGAGGUGGAGCAAAACUUCAGAAAUGGUCUCAGUCCGGACUGUAGGCUGCAACUCGCCUACACGAAGUUGGAAUUGCUAGUAAUCGUGGAUCAGCAUGCCACGGUGAAUACGUUCCCGGGUCUUGUACACACCGCCCGUCACACCAUGGGAGCUGGUAACACCCGAAGUCAGUAGUCUAACCGCAAGGAGGACGCUGCCGAAGGUGGGAUUAGCGACUGGGGUGAAGUCGUAACAAGGUAAC
rnacentral:rRNA from 1 species